rnacentral:rRNA from 1 species
CAGUAGCCGCGGUAAUACGUAGGGCGCAAGCGUUAUCCGGAAUUAUUGGGCGUAAAGAGCUCGUAGGCGGUUUGUCGCGUCUGCCGUGAAAGUCCGGGGCUCAACCCCGGAUCUGCGGUGGGUACGGGCAGACUAGAGUGAUGUAGGGGAGACUGGAAUUCCUGGUGUAGCGGUGAAAUGCGCAGAUAUCAGGAGGAACACCGAUGGCGAAGGCAGGUCUCUGGGCAUUAACUGACGCUGAGGAGCGAAAGCAUGGGGAGCGAACAGGAUUAGAUACCCGCGUAGUCCCUGUCUCUUAUAC